rnacentral:lncRNA from 1 species
UCUCCUCUAAUAUUCUCUCUCUAGAUGAUUUAUGAAUCUAGUGAACUCGAACUGUUAUUUUGAAUUCGAGUCAAUGCUGGUAGAAAAUUUUGAACCACUCUAUCAAUCAGAUGACAUGACCACAUUAUUCGAGCCUUUAUCAAGUAUCGCAAGAUCUAAUCCUUAUUCAUCUCUAUCAAAUCAUUAUAUUUUAAAUAAUUAUGAUUAGAUGAAGCUACUUGAUCAAAUUAAUCCCUGACUGUAAUUGGUGUACUGAUCUCCACUUUGAUUUUUGUUAGAUACAACUGAUCUGAUCACCAUUGAUCUUCAUUGAUUCAUUUAUUUUUAGUCUAAUCAUGAUCUAAUAAAACUAUCUCGAUUGGACUGACUAAAAUAUUGAAUGCUAUCAUUUUUGUCAGCCUUAUGAGAGUAUCAAAACUUAUAAGAUUUUUAUUAGUUAUGGCUUAAGACUGAUAGAAGAAUAUAUUUUAAAUAAUAGAUUCUGAUCGAUGCUUUCAGGAUUGAUUGAAUCUAUCCAUUUAGUAUUCUGUGGAGAUAAAUAAUAAACCAUCUCCUCAGGAUAUUUCAUAAUUUAUUUUGAAAGUAAAUAAGUAGUCUUUAAAUUAUGCAUGAUUUAUGAAAUUAUAUUUUGUAUGGAAAGUAAUUUACCAAUUUAAGAUCUCUAAAAUAUUAUGGUUUAUUGAUUUAUUAUAGAAUACGAUAAGUUCAGUGAAA